rnacentral:rRNA from 1 species
UACGGAGGGGGCUCGCGUUGUUCGGAAUUACUGGGCGUAAAGCGCCCGUAGGCGGCCUUGUAAGUUAGAGGUGAAAGCCCGGGGCUCAACUCCGGAAUUGCCUUUAAGACUGCAUCGCUAGAAUUGUGGAGAGGUAAGUGGAAUUCCGAGUGUAGAGGUGAAAUUCGUAGAUAUUCGGAAGAACACCAGUGGCGAAGGCGACUUACUGGACACAUAUUGACGCUGAGGUGCGAAAGCGUGGGGAGCAAACAGG